GUAUACGGGGGAUGCAAGCGUUAUCCGGAAUCAUUGGGCGUAAAGCGCCUGUAGGUUGUUUAAUAAGUCUGUUGUUAAAGACUAGGGCUCAACCCUAGAAAAGCAAUGGAAACUGCUAGACUAGAGUAUGGCAGGGGUAGAGGGAAUUUCUAGUGUAGCGGUGAAAUGCGUAGAUAUUAGAAAGAACACCGGUGGCGAAAGCGCUCUACUGGACCAUUACUGACACUCAGAGGCGAAAGCUAGGGUAGCAAAAGGGAUUAGAUACCCCUGUAGUCCUAGCCGUAAACGAUGGAUACUAGGUGUUGUAUUUAUUUUACAGUAUCGUAGCUAACGCGUUAAGUAUCCCGCCUGGGGAGUACGCUCGCAAGGGUGAAACUCAAAGGAAUUGACGGGGGCCCGCACAAGCGGUGGAGCAUGUGGUUUAAUUCGAUGCAACGCGAAGAACCUUACCAGGGCUUGACAUACUGCGAAUCUCCUUGAAAGAGAAGAGUGCCUUCGGGAAUGCAGAUACAGGUGGUGCAUGGCUGUCGUCAGCUCGUGUCGUGAGAUGUUGGGUUAAGUCCCGCAACGAGCGCAACCCUUGUUUUUAGUUACCAACUUGUUGGGUUUUCUAGAAAGACUGCCGGUGACAAACCGGAGGAAGGUGAGGAUGACGUCAAGUCAGCAUGCCCCUUAUGUCCUGGGCUACACACGUGCUACAAUGGCUAGGACAAAGAGUCGCGAGUUUGCGAAAACAAGCUAAUCUCGUAAACCU
rnacentral:rRNA from 1 species